rnacentral:rRNA from 1 species
GGANUCACUGGGCGUAAAGGACGCGUAGGCGGAUUAUCAANUCUCUUGUGAAAUCUAACGGCUUAACCGUUAAACUGCUUGAGAAACUGAUAAUNUAGAGUAAGGGAGAGGCAGACGGAAUUCUUGGUGUAGGGGUAAAAUCCGUAGAGAUCAAGAAGAAUACCCAUUGCGAAAGCGAUCUGCUGGAACUUAACUGACGCUAAUGCGUGAAAGCGUGGGGAGCAAACAGGAUUAGAUACCCUGGUAGUCCACGCCCUAAACGAUGUAUACUAGUUGUUGCUUCGCUAGUCGAGGCAGUAAUGCACCUAACGGAUUAAGUAUACCGCCUGGGGAGUACGGUCGCAAGAUUAAAACUCAAAGGAAUAGACGGGGACCCGCACAAGCGGUGGAGCAUGUGGUUUAAUUCGAAGAUACGCGAAGAACCUUACCCGGACUUGAUAUCUAGCAAAUCAUCCAGAGAUGGAAGAGUGUCUGCUUGCAGAAAUGUUAAGACAGGUGCUGCACGGCUGUCGUCAGCUCGUGUCGUGAGAUGUUGGGUUAAGUCCCGCAACGAGCGCAACCCACGUCAUUAGUUGCUAACGGUUCGGCCGGGCACUCUAAUGAGACUGCCUUCGCAAGGAGGAGGAAGGUGUGGACGACGUCAAGUCAUCAUGGCCCUUAUGUCCGGGGCGACACACGUGCUACAAUGGCGUAUACAAUGAGACGCAAUAUCGCGAGAUGGAGCAAAUCUAUAAAAUACGUCCCAGUUCGGAUUGGAGUCUGCAACUCGACUCCAUGAAGCCGGAAUCGCUAGUAAUCGUAGAUCAGCCAUGCUACGGUGAAUACGUUCCCGGGUCUUGUACUCACCGCCCGUCACACCAUGGGAGUUGAUUUCAC